rnacentral:rRNA from 1 species
UUAAUGCAUGCAAGUCGAGCGAUGAGGUCUCCUUCGGGGGACACAUCAGCGGCAGACGGGUGAGUAACACGUAGGUAACCUACCCCAGAGACAGGGAUAACCCUAGGAAACGAGGGCUAAUACCGGAUGACCUCCGGAAGGAGGAAAGGCUCAGGCGCUCUGGGAGGGGCUUGCGGCCCAUCAGCUAGUUGGUAGGGUAAAGGCCUACCAAGGCGAAGACGGGUAGGGGGUGUGAGAGCACAUAACCCCACAAUGGACUUGACAACAUCGCCCAUACUCCUACGGGGAGACCCAGCAGGGAAUAUUGCACAAUAGGCGAAAGCCUGAUGCAGCGACGCCGCGUGAGUGAAGAAGGCCUUCGGGUCGUAAAGCUCUUAUGUAGGGGAAGAGGAAGGACGGUACCCUAAGAAGAAGCGUCGGCUAACUACGUGCCAGCAGCCGCGGUAAGACGUAGGACGCGAGCGUUAUCCGGAAUUACUGGGCGUAAAGGGCCAGCAGGCGGCUUGGUAAGUUGUGCGUGAAAGCCUCGUGCUCAACGCGAGAACGCCGGACAAUACUGUCAAGCUAGAGGGCAUCAGAGGGGAGUGGAAUUCCCGGAGUAGCGGUAAAAUGCGCAGAUAUCGGGAGGAACACCGAUGGCGAAGGCAGCUCCCUGGGAUGCACCUGACGCUAAGAGGCGAAAGCUAGGGGAGCGAACAGGAUUAGAGACCCUGGUAGUCCUAGCUGUAAACGCUGGGUGCUAGGUGUGGGACGUAGAAGUUCCGUGCCGGAGCAAACGCGAUAAGCACCCCGCCUGGGAAUUACGGUCGCAAGGCUAAAACUCAAACGAAUUGACGGGGCCCCGCACAAGCAGCGGAGCGUGUGGUUCAAUUCGGUGCUACACGAAGAACCUUACCUGGGUUUGGCAUGUACGUGGUACGAAGGCGAAAGCCUAAGGACCCUUCGGGGAGCGUACACAGGUGCUGCAUGGCUGUCGUCAGCUCGUGCCGUGAGGUGUCGGGUUAAGUCCCGUAACGAGCGCAACCCUUGCCCUUAGUUACAAGUGUCUAAGGGGACUGCCGGCGGGAAGCCGGAGGAAGGUGGGGAUGACGUCAAGUCAGCAUGGCCCUUAUGUCCAGGGCUACACAC